CUUCUCUUGCUGUGGCAAGACAUCAAAUUUUGUCAUGGCGCCAUGGAAACGGCCUUUAACAAAAACUCAAGAUCUCCAAAAGUUAACAUUGCACAGGCCUUUAGAUUAGACUGACCACAAAAUAUAUGUUAAUCUCAAAAAAAUUAUAGGAGUAGUUUGUUGCAGCGUAAAACAUGUCACUUCCUGUUGCCAAUAGGUGGCGCUAUGACUAUAACUGAAUGUGGGCAUGUAGAUCUGUUAAGGGCAGAAGUUUUAUCUAACAUGUGAAGUUUGGGGCAGAUUGGACAUUGUAUGUCUGAGUUACAGCAACUUCCUUUUUCAUGGCGAAACAUCGAAAUUUGUCACGCCGCCAUGGACACGCCCUUUAACGAAAUCUAAAGAUCUUCGCAAUUUAACAUCGCAAAGGGCUUAAGAUUACACUGACCAGGUUUGGUGUUGAUCUGAAUAAAUCUCUAGGAGGAGUUCGUUAAAGUACAACCCCUGAAAAUGGCAAAAACAACGCCAAUUUUGCAGAGAAAAUUCAAAAUAACCGACUUCCUGUUGGAAUACGGAUUUCGUACCAAGAGACUUUUUUGUAGGUAUUGGUGUGUUACAUGUGUAUACCGUUUUUUGUACAUGUACGUGAAACAUAGCUCGAGGCGCACUCUGUUGAAAGUGUAUAGGUGGCGCUAUAGAGCCAUUUUGCCACAACUGAUGGAAUUUUGGCCUUCAGAUGUGUUCAGGCCAGGACUCUUAUCACACAUGUGAAGUUUGGGGAAGAUCAGACAUUUUAUGCCUGAGUUAUAACAACUUUUAUUCCCAUGGCGAGACAUCGAACUUCGUGACGGCGCCAUGGACACGCCUUUUUACGAAAACUCAAGAUCUUCACAAUUUAACAUCGCACAGGCCUUUAGAUUAGACUGACCACAAAAAAAAAUUGAUGUCAUAAAAUUUCUAGGAGUAGUUCAUCGCAGUGUAAAAUAUGUCACUUCCUGUUGCCAAUAGGUGGCGCUAUGACUAUAACUGAAUAUGGGCAUGUCAAUCUGUUCAUGUUAGGAGACUCAUCAAACAUGUGAAGUAUGGGGCAUAUUGGUCAUUGUAUGUCUGAGUUAUAGCAACUUCCUGUUUCAUGGCGAAUCAUCGAAAAUCGCCAGGCCGCCACGGACACGCCCAUUAACGAAAACUCAAAAGCUUCGCAAUUUAACAUCGCAAAGGCCUUCAGAUUAGGCAUACCAAAUUUGGUGUUGAUCUGAAUGAAUCUCUAGGAGGAGUUCGUUAAAAUACAACGCAUGGAAAUGACAAAAAUGACACAAAAUUUGCUCAUAAUAUUAGUAAUAACCGACUUCCUGUUGGGUUUUGGAUUUUGCUCCAAGAGACUUUUUUGUAGGUAUUGGAGAGUUACAUGUGUAUACCGAUUUUCAUACAUGUACAUGAAACGUAGCUCGAGGCGCACACCGUUGAACGUUUAUAGGUGGCGCUGUUGAGCCAUUUUGCCACACCCACUUCUGAAACCCAUAUCAGACGUAAAUUUUCGCCAGUUCUGAGGUGUGUGCAAAGUUUCAUGACUUUUCGAGCAUGUUUAGGCCCUCAAAAAUGCGAUUCAUCUUAGAGAAGAAGAAUAAUAAUAAUAAAUAUAGCUGCAAGCAGCGAUGGCGGGCUCAAGCCACCAGUGCCAUCGCCACCCCGGUGGCAUCAGGUAAACUGUGCCCAGCGGGCACAUGCAUUCACAAUAUCCCUCUGGCAGUGAGGUUUUAAAGGAUAUGGCAGUUAAAGGGUUAAUCCGAAUCAUCUAGACUUUAAAAUCACAUUCACAGAACAAUAUAUAUAUAACUUUAGUAACACUUUACAAUAAGAUUCCAUUCAUAAACAUUAUGUUAACAUGAACAAUAUUUAUAUAGCAUUCAUUCAUGUCAGUUAAUAUUCCAAACUUAA